CGAACGGGUGAGUAACACGUGGGCAAUCUGCCCUUCACUCUGGGACAAGCCCUGGAAACGGGGUCUAAUACCGGAUACGAGUUCAGGAGGCAUCUUCUGGACUGGAAAGCUCCGGCGGUGAAGGAUGAGCCCGCGGCCUAUCAGCUUGUUGGUGGGGUAACGGCCCACCAAGGCGACGACGGGUAGCCGGCCUGAGAGGGCGACCGGCCACACUGGGACUGAGACACGGCCCAGACUCCUACGGGAGGCAGCAGUGGGGAAUAUUGCACAAUGGGCGAAAGCCUGAUGCAGCGACGCCGCGUGAGGGAUGACGGCCUUCGGGUUGUAAACCUCUUUCAGCAGGGAAGAAGCGAAAGUGACGGUACCUGCAGAAGAAGCGCCGGCUAACUACGUGCCAGCAGCCGCGGUAAUACGUAGGGCGCAAGCGUUGUCCGGAAUUAUUGGGCGUAAAGAGCUCGUAGGCGGCUUGUCACGUCGGGUGUGAAAGCCCGGGGCUUAACCCCGGGUCUGCAUCCGAUACGGGCAGGCUAGAGUGUGGUAGGGGAGAUCGGAAUUCCUGGUGUAGCGGUGAAAUGCGCAGAUAUCAGGAGGAACACCGGUGGCGAAGGCGGAUCUCUGGGCCAUUACUGACGCUGAGGAG
rnacentral:rRNA from 1 species